UACGUAGGGCGCAAGCGUUAUCCGGAAUUAUUGGGCGUAAAGAGCUCGUAGGCGGUUUGUCGCGUCUGCCGUGAAAGUCCGGGGCUCAACCCCGGAUCUGCGGUGGGUACGGGCAGACUAGAGUGAUGUAGGGGAGACUGGAAUUCCUGGUGUAGCGGUGAAAUGCGCAGAUAUCAGGAGGAACACCGGUGGCGAAGGCGGGUCUCUGGGCAGUAACUGACGCUGAGGAGCGAAAGCGUGGGGAGCGAACAGG
rnacentral:rRNA from 1 species